rnacentral:rRNA from 1 species
UACGGAGGGGGCUAGCGUUGUUCGGAAUUACUGGGCGUAAAGCGCACGUAGGCGGCUUUGCAAGUCAGAGGUGAAAGCCCGGGGCUCAACCCCGGAAUUGCCUUUGAGACUGCAUCGCUAGAAUUGUGGAGAGGUAAGUGGAAUUCCGAGUGUAGAGGUGAAAUGCGUAGAGAUGUGGAGGAACACCAGUGGCGAAGGCGACUCUUUGGCCUGUAACUGACGCUGAGGCGCGAAAGCGUGGGGAGCAAACAGG